UACGUAGGGGGCUAGCGUUAUCCGGAAUUACUGGGCGUAAAGGGUGCGUAGGUGGUUUCUUAAGUCAGAGGUGAAAGGCUACGGCUCAACCGUAGUAAGCCUUUGAAACCGGGGAACUUGAGUGCAGGAGAGGAGAGUGGAAUUCCUAGUGUAGCGGUGAAAUGCGUAGAUAUUAGGAGGAACACCAGUUGCGAAGGCGGCUCUCUGGACUGUAACUGACACUGAGGCACGAAAGCGUGGGGAGCAAACAGG
rnacentral:rRNA from 1 species